rnacentral:antisense_RNA from 19 species
CGUAGCGGUAGGACGGGAGAGGGACACCUUUGGGUGUGCUGGAGUCUUAACCAGUCUGCGAACCCUCUUUCGUUCUGCCACCAUA